rnacentral:tRNA from 1 species
GGGCCCUUAGCUCAGUCGGUAGAGCAUCUCCCUUUUAAGGAGGGUGUCGAUGGUUCGAAUCCAUCAGGGCUCACCA